CCUACGGGAGGCAGCAGUGAGGAAUAUUGGACAAUGGGCGCAAGCCUGAUCCAGCCAUGCCGCGUGCAGGAAGACGCAUCUAUGGUGUGUAAACUGCUUUUGUACGGGAAGAAACACUCCCUCGUGAGGGAGCUUGACGGUACCGUAAGAAUAAGGAUCGGCUAACUCCGUGCCAGCAGCCGCGGUAAUACGGAGGAUCCAAGCGUUAUCCGGAAUCAUUGGGUUUAAAGGGUCCGUAGGCGGUUUAAUAAGUCAGUGGUGAAAGCCCAUCGCUCAACGAUGGAACGGCCAUUGAUACUGUUAGACUUGAAUUACUAGGAAGUAACUAGAAUAUGUAGUGUAGCGGUGAAAUGCUUAGAUAUUACAUGGAAUACCAAUUGCGAAGGCAGGUUACUACUAGUGGAUUGACGCUGAUGGACGAAAGCGUGGGGAGCGAACAGGAUUAGAUACCCUGGUAGUCCACGCCGUAAACGAUGGAUACUAGCUGUUGGGCGCAGUUCAGUGGCUAAGCGAAAGUGAUAAGUAUCCACCUGGGGAGUACGUUCGCAAGAUUGAAACUUCAAAGGAAUUGACGGCUGGAGAGNGCGAGACGACGACGAGGAGGAGG
rnacentral:rRNA from 1 species